AGUUGGUUAGAGCACACCCCUGAUAAGGGUGAGGUCGGAAGUUCAAAUCUUCCCAGACC
rnacentral:tRNA from 13 species